rnacentral:rRNA from 1 species
UUCGGAUCGUAAAGCUCUGUUGUUAGGGAAGAACAAGUGCCGUUCAAAUAGGGCGGCACCUUGACGGUACCUAACCAGAAAGCCACGGCUAACUACGUGCCAGCAGCCGCGGUAAUACGUAGGUGGCAAGCGUUGUCCGGAAUUAUUGGGCGUAAAGGGCUCGCAGGCGGUUUCUUAAGUCUGAUGUGAAAGCCCCCGGCUCAACCGGGGAGGGUCAUUGGAAACUGGGGAACUUGAGUGCAGAAGAGGAGAGUGGAAUUCCACGUGUAGCGGUGAAAUGCGUAGAGAUGUGGAGGAACACCAGUGGCGAAGGCGACUCUCUGGUCUGUAACUGACGCUGAGGAGCGAAAGCGUGGGGAGCGAACAGGAUUAGAUACCCUGGUAGUCCACGCCGUAAACGAUGAGUGCUAAGUGUUAGGGGGUUUCCGCCCCUUAGUGCUGCAGCUAACGCAUUAAGCACUCCGCCU